rnacentral:lncRNA from 1 species
AAAAAUUUACGAACUAUUCAGAAACCGCCUCGACACAUAUUAAAACAACCCUUUUCAAUUAGAUUAACAACUUAUAUAAUUACAAAUUUAACUACCCUUAGCCACUCAAUACAAUAGGCUUCAAAUAAGAUUAAAGAGAACCGAGUCACGUGAAGAGAACUAUAACUAAUCGGUAGAGGAAUAACUUUAAAACCCCAAACAACGCAAACCCAAACUUCCAAGAGGCAACAUCAACUGCCUCUCAUUCAACUUUCAUGAAAAUUGAUAUAUUAAUGAACAUUUGAUCAAUCACUAGCAUCACAUCACCACAUACUUAUUUUAAACUCAAUACUUGCUAAUUUGUCCCAUUUGCCAAAUCCACAACUACAGCUAACAUUAAACAAUAAAAGCCUUUAACAAACCUCACUUAGCCAGAACAUUGAGUACGAUUACUGACUAUGCAUGAAAAAAUAUCAUACAGGGCCUAACCUACCUAAUGAUGGUUCAGACUUUAGCACAUAAUAUUAAUGGAUCAGUUAAUGAUGGAUCUAGAUUAUUGGAUCUCUAUUAAUGAACACAAAUCAUUCAACCUUGUAUGAAACCAACGAGCUGAAUUGAAGGUUCAACAUAUGAAUACUAACACCAUAUCACCUCUACUACUAACUGUAGCAUGCUUAACUAAAACUGAUUGGGACAAAGUAAUCACAAAAAAUAAAAACAGAUAGAUUAGAAAAAAAUUAAAUAAUUUCUAUGCUCCAAUUCUUCGUUUUCAUUUCUCAUUCCUCAACUUCACUUCACAAACAAACGAGUUACUGGGUCAUGUACUUGGAAGUAAAAGAAGGAAGGAGAGAAGUGAGGUAUCAGUAAGAACCACAGCAGAGCAACACCAGUUUCAACAGAACAACUCAAAUCAAAGAAGAUUGAUAUGAAGCAGUGGAAGAAACAGUCCCAAUCGAGUUGGGGAUAUGACAACUUCAAACUAGGCUUUGGAAAACCAGAUUUUAAUCCAUUUUAGCUACCUGAAUCAGCAAUCAUUUUAGAAAUCAAAACUUCAAUAAAUCUCAGAACAUGUUCAAUAGAACAAUAAUUAUUUGAACCAGUCAGUUUUUUUUUAAAUUUUUUAUCUCCUCUUGUUUUUUAAUGAGCUUUCCUUAGAAGUGCUUUUAUAGGCAAGGAAAUGGGGAAACAAUUUAGGGAACAAAUUUGCAUUUUAGUCCCUUUUUAAUUUUUAUUUUUGCCCAAAAGUCCCUAUAUUUUUGGCUUGUUUCCCAAACAAGUCUAUUUUGCAGCUUCUAAGAAGCUUCCUCAUGCGGUUAUUCAGAGAUUUUUUGUCUAGAUUACCUAAAUUAUCCUUGACGGCCUCGUAUUCACCAUAGCCUAUUAGCGUAGAAAAAUCCAAGUUCAAUUGAUCCAAGCUAAUGGGUUUAAAAGACCCGGUUCAAUUACUUUCUGGGCUCAUUCAAUCUUUAUGAGCCCAAAUUCAAAUCUAAUAAAGGCUCACCACUUAAAACUCACCCAAAAUUAAUUAACAAAAAAAUUCAAAUCUCAGGAAUCUUAGCCCAAAACCAAAGAAACUAUUUUAUUUAACAAAUAACAACAUAACUAUACUGAUGAAUGAAUUAUGCAUGGCAUGUUGACCCUGAAACAAAUAAACAAAAGAACCAAAAGAAAAAGAAGAAGCAUAGAAGCAGACACAACAGACAUAUUAAUGAAAAGAUGACAAAACAAGAAAGAUACCUAAGAGAUUUGGACAGCAAAAUAGCGAUGAACCUUCAAACUUUUCAGAUUUAGGAUUAAUCUGAGAUUAAGCAUGUGUUUUCUCAUCAAAAACACAUGAAUAACCUCAAAUGAGCCUAAUACUUCAACGAGAACUUCAAUCGGGCAAAACUGGAAUUUUAUGGUUAAACUUGAUUCCAAGAUUCGAGGGCUUCCAGGGAAAUUCGAAGGAAACUGGUUUCAGGUUUGGGAAGAAGAGGUCAAGGAGGUGACCUGGUGUUAUUUUGGGUGCAUUUGGAGGUGGCGCCACCACCGGAGAAACUAUGGUGGCACUAGGGUUUCUAAGAUUUGAAACUUUCUACAAGUAAUUGAGCAGAAUGGAGCGUGGAUAUGGGAUGGGGAGAUGGAGGAGAAGUCGUGGUGUUAAUUUUCGUGAGGAAUGGUCAUCGGCCGCUGCCGUGGGGCAAUCUCCGGCAGGUGGCAGGCGGCGACAAUGAAAGGGGUCUCUGGUGAGUGUUGUGAGAGAUGACUGAGGGGUAGAG